rnacentral:rRNA from 1 species
UACGGAGAGUGCAAGCGUUAUCCGGAUUCACUGGGUUUAAAGGGUGCGUAGGCGGUCAUGUAAGUCCGUGGUGAAAUCUCCGAGCUUAACUCGGAAACUGCCAUGGAUACUAUGUGUCUUGAAUGUUGUGGAGGUGAGCGGAAUAUGUCAUGUAGCGGUGAAAUGCUUAGAUAUGACAUAGAACACCAAUUGCGAAGGCAGCUCACUACACAAAUAUUGACGCUGAGGCACGAAAGCGUGGGGAUCAAACAGG